rnacentral:rRNA from 1 species
UACGGAGGGUGCGAGCGUUGUCCGGAAUCACUGGGCGUAAAGGGCGCGUAGGCGGCGCGGUAAGCGUGCGGUGAAAGCCCGGGGCUCAACCCCGGGUCGGCCGUGCGGACUGCCGGGCUCGAGCACUGUAGAGGCGGGUGGAAUUCCGGGUGUAGCGGUGGAAUGCGUAGAGAUCCGGAAGAACACCGGUGGCGAAGGCGGCCCGCUGGGCAGUGGCUGACGCUGAGGCGCGACAGCG